GAUGAACGCUAGCUACAGGCUUAACACAUGCAAGUCGCGGGGCAGCAUGGGGGUUGCUUGCAAUCCCCGAUGGCGACCGGCGCACGGGUGAGUAACGCGUAUCCAACCUGCCCUUCACCACGGGAUAACCCGGCGAAAGUCGGACUAAUACCGUAUGUUGUCCAUUGACGGCCUCCGAUUUGGACGAAAGGUUUGGCGGUGAAGGAUGGGGAUGCGUCCGAUUAGCUGGACGGCGGGGUGACGGCCCACCGUGGCGACGAUCGGUAGGGGUUCUGAGAGGAAGGUCCCCCACACUGGAACUGAGACACGGUCCAGACUCCUACGGGAGGCAGCAGUGAGGAAUAUUGAUCAAUGGGCGUAAGCCUGAACCAGCCAAGUAGCGUGCAGGAGGACGGCCCUAUGGGUUGUAAACUGCUUUUAUGCGGGGAUAAAGUGGCCCACGUGUGGGUUUUUGCAGGUACCGCAUGAAUAAGGACCGGCUAAUUCCGUG
rnacentral:rRNA from 1 species